UACAGAGGUCUCAAGCGUUGUUCGGAUUCAUUGGGCGUAAAGGGUGCGUAGGCGGCGCGGUAAGUCAGACGUGAAAUCCCUCGGCUUAACCGGGGAACUGCGUCUGAUACUGGAUGGCUUGAGUUCGGGAGAGGGAUGCGGAAUUCCAGGUGUAGCGGUGAAAUGCGUAGAUAUCUGGAGGAACACCGGUGGCGAAGGCGGAUCUCUGGGCCAUUACUGACGCUGAGGAGCGAAAGCGUGGGGAGCGAACAGG
rnacentral:rRNA from 1 species